rnacentral:rRNA from 1 species
GCUUAAAGCGCCCGUAGCCGGCCCGGCAAGUCGCUCCUGAAAUCCCCAGGCUCAACCUGGGGGCGGGGGGCGAUACUGCCGGGCUAGGGGGCGGGAGAGGCCGCCGGUACUCCGGGGGUAGGGGCGAAAUCCUAUAAUCCCCGGAGGACCACCAGUGGCGAAAGCGGGCGGCCAGAACGCGCCCGACGGUGAGGGGCGAAAGCCGGGGGAGCAAAGGGGAUUAGAUACCCCUGUAGUCCCGGCCGUAAACGAUGCGGGCUAGCUGUCGGCCGGGCUUAGGGCCCGUCCGGUGGCGUAGGGAAACCGUUAAG